rnacentral:rRNA from 1 species
AACGAACGCUGGCGGCAUGCCUAACACAUGCAAGUCGAACGAGACCUUCGGGUCUAGUGGUGCACGGGUGCGUAACGCGUGGGAACCUGCCCUUAGGUUCGGAAUAACUCCCCGAAAGGGGUGCUAAUACCGGAUAAUGUCUUCGGACCAAAGAUUUAUCGCCUUUGGAUGGGCCCGCGUUGGAUUAGCUAGUUGGUAGGGUAAAAGCCUACCAAGGCGACGAUCCAUAGCUGGUCUGAGAGGAUGAUCAGCCACACUGGGACUGAGACACGGCCCAGACUCCUACGGGAGGCAGCAGUGGGGAAUAUUGGACAAUGGGCGAAAGCCUGAUCCAGCAAUGCCGCGUGAGUGAUGAAGGCCUUAGGGUUGUAAAGCUCUUUUACCCGGGAUGAUAAUGACAGUACCGGGAGGAUAAGCUCCGGCUAACUCCGUG